CAAUAGCGUAUAUUAAAGUUGCUGCAGUUAAAAAGCUCGUAGUUGGAUUUCUGAUCGAGACAUCAGGUCGGGUCCGAGAGGAUCAUGUACUUUGAUUUUGUUUUGAUCAUCCUUGGGGAGAGCAUUUCUGGCAUUCAGUUGUCGGGAUUGGGAUCCUCAUCGUUUACUGUGAAAAAAUUAGAGUGUUCAAAGCAGGCCUCGGCCUCUGAAUACAUUAGCAUGGAAUAAUAAGAUAGGACUUUGGUGGUCUAUUUUGUUGGUUUGCACGCCAAAGUAAUGAUUAAUAGGGAUAGUUGGGGGUAUUCGUAUUCAAUUGUCAGAGGUGAAAUUCUUGGAUUUAUGGAAGACGAACUACUGCGAAAGCAUUUACCAAGGAUGUUUUCAUUAA
rnacentral:rRNA from 1 species